GACGAACGCUGGCGGCGUGCUUAACACAUGCAAGUCGAACGGUGAAGCGAGUGCUUGCACUCGUGGAUCAGUGGCGAACGGGUGAGUAACACGUGAGUAACCUGCCCAUCACUCUGGGAUAAGCACUGGAAACGGUGUCUAAUACUGGAUACGACCAACCCUUGCAUGGGGUGUUGGUGGAAAGAUUUAUCGGUGAUGGAUGGACUCGCGGCCUAUCAGCUUGUUGGCGGGGUAAUGGCCCACCAAGGCGACGACGGGUAGCCGGCCUGAGAGGGUGACCGGCCACACUGGGACUGAGACACGGCCCAGACUCCUACGGGAGGCAGCAGUGGGGAAUAUUGCACAAUGGGCGAAAGCCUGAUGCAGCGACGCCGCGUGAGGGAUGACGGCCUUCGGGUUGUAAACCUCUUUCAGCAGGGAAGAAGCGAAAGUGACGGUACCUGCAGAAGAAGCACCGGCUAACCACGUG
rnacentral:rRNA from 1 species